CCUACGGGAGGCAGCAGUGGGGAAUAUUGCACAAUGGGCGCAAGCCUGAUGCAGCGACGCCGCGUGAGGGAUGAAGGCCUUCGGGUUGUAAACCUCUUUCGUCAGGGAACAAGGCAUUGCCUUUUUGGUGGUGUUGAGGGUACCUGGAUAAGAAGCGCCGGCUAACUACGUGCCAGCAGCCGCGGUAAUACGUAGGGCGCAAGCGUUGUCCGGAAUUAUUGGGCGUAAAGAGCUCGUAGGCGGCUGGUCGCGUCUGUCGUGAAAACUUCCGGCUCAACCGGGGGCUUGCGGUGGGUACGGGCCGGCUAGAGUGCGGUAGGGGUAACUGGAACUCCUGGUGUAGCGGUGGAAUGCGCAGAUAUCAGGAAGAACACCGAUGGCGAAGGCAGGUUACUGGGCCGUUACUGACGCUGAGGAGCGAAAGCGUGGGGAGCGAACAGGAUUAGAUACCCGAGUAGUC
rnacentral:rRNA from 1 species